UCAGUUAAAACAGUUCAAACUCUUUGAUUUCUACGGUAUUUUGAAGCUAUACAACCUAUUGAUAACAUAAUGUAGUCAGAAAUACACUAUUAAGGUGGCAAGAGGACCAUAAACAAAUCUGAUGUACUACUCCCUUCAAAUGACUUGUUAUUUCAGUAGUACGGUCUGUACCUCACAGAACUGCUGAAAAUUCAUCUACUUGGACACUUGUUCACCCUGCCAAACAAACAAGCAAAAGAACAAGUCCAAGUUGAGAUAGAAAAGAUAAAUGAACACGAAAGAUACAAGAUUGGUUCGAAUCAAGUAGCACAUUCUUCAGAUUAUAUGUACCACUAUCUUAUAGCUCAGAUUAUAGACAAGUAAACACCAUCCCAAUCAGGCAACCAACAACCAAUCGAACAACUCAACUAUAUAUUAAUUGCUAGUGUGCACUGUAGUCGGCAGUAGAAUGCCCCAGAAUUCGAAGUAGAUGAGACUCACCUCUCUGACGAACCAACACAGCAGCUCGCACUCGGUGAUCCAUUACCCUGCCUACACCAAGGACACCUCCACCGGCUCAGUGAAGGGCUCCCUUGCCACCGGAAAGCAACAGUGCUGGAGACAAAAUCCAAGCGAUGAUAGAGAUGUGAAAAUGGGUGGCAUGUUGAGAUCGAACCAGUAUGGUAAGUGACUAUUUCAUCAGAGACAGAUGGAAAUCGUACCACCCACAACAACUUGUCACCUAACAAUGCAUAUCCAUGGACAAUUU
rnacentral:lncRNA from 1 species